CAAUGACUCUCGGCAACGGAUAUCUCGGCUCUCGCAUCGAUGAAGAACGUAGCAAAAUGCGAUACCUGGUGUGAAUUGCAGAAUCCCGUGAACCAUCGAGUUUUUGAACGCAAGUUGCGCCCGAGGCCUUCUGGUUGAGGGCACGUCUGCCUGGGCGUCACGC
rnacentral:rRNA from 1 species